AAGAAGAAGGACGAACACAACGUUACCCUUGUCGACUGUAAAGCAAUCUCUUUCUCUAUUACAUGAAAUAUCGUUCGCUCCUUCUGCUGCUUUGCUGUGUGAACACCAUGGCGGAGCGCCUCAGCAAGUUUAUCCGGAAUUACCAGCUUUUAUAUUUUACUCAACAACCUCCAAAGAGACGACCUUUGCAGCCCAAGAUUGCCAACACACAAGCCAACAUACGUUUCAGCGCAUAUGGAAGGACUUUCAGCCUCCUGCUAAGCCGUGACACGUCCACAUUCGUAGAUGAUUUCGUCGCUCUUUCUAACAACGAGGUUGUCGACUUGGAUAUCUCUCACAUAUACUCUGGUGCAUUGGCAGGUGACGCAGGAAGUCACGUGUUCGGCUCCGUGGCUGGUGGAGUGUUCGAAGGCCGUAUAACUGCAGGAGACGGAACCAUAUUUUACGUGGAGCCUCUGUGGAAGUAUUUGAAUAACGCCACCUCCCAUCAGCAUGCUAUCAUCUACAGGGCUCAAGAUGUGGAGCUGCCGCAGCUCAUCGCCAGCGAUUCCAGCUGCGGCGUCGACCGUCUGUACGACAAUGCCUCUCACCUUGUGAACCAAUGGACGUCAGGACUUGUUCGGCCACAGAUCAUAAAUAGGCAUGCCAUGCACAAGAGAAGCGUUGAUUACGUGGAAGCUGAAGGAAUGCUUGAAGUGGACGAUGAACCACGGGCUGCACGGAAUAGGUCUUCGCGUCAGGGGAGACGGGUGCGACGGAUGUGCCACCUAGAGAUUCUCGUGGAUCACACCAUGUUCGCCGCGUAUCUGCUCGGAGCAGGAGACUCUUCCACUGCCCGUUCCCGCAUUGCCGGCACAGUGGCGUCUCAUGUGGACACGCUGAACCGCAUCUACUCCACUACAGCUUUCGGACGCUUCCGCGGCAUCUUGUUCAGGGUGCAGUCGCUCACGAUUAAUGAUACAGAGUCAUGCGGGGGUCGUGAGAAGGAAUCCAACCCUUUCUGCGCAGAAGACUUGGAUCCUACUACCUUACUCGAUCUCGUGUCCAGCGCGGACCACAACGACUUCUGUCUGUCUUUCCUCUGGACCUUUAGAGACUUCGCUUCGGGCACGCUUGGCCUUGCUUUCAUUGCACACCCGGAUGAAAGACCCGGCGGGAUCUGUGAGAAGUACCAGAGGCUCAAUACUCGCAGGGGGGCCAUCAAGAACAUGGGGCUCAAUACAGGAGUAGUGACCUUUGUCAACCACGGCCACGUCAUGUCGUCCAGAAUUAGCGAGCUCACUUUUGCCCACGAGGUCGGACACUCCUUCGGAGCGCGCCACGACGUGAGUCCACAGUGCGCCCCUGGCGGAGAACUGGGAAACUACAUCAUGUUCCCGAAGGCCUCACCAGGCAAUUUGCCCAACAACUACAACUUUUCACAAUGCAGCGUCGCAGAUAUCACUACCGUCCUGACGGCAUUCUUUGAGUCCCGUCACGAUAAAGAGAACUGCUUCCUGGCGAGCGACGUUCCAUUUUGCGGCAACAACAUUCGGGAAGGGGACGAAGAGUGUGACUGUGGCUAUAACGACGCCGAGUGCAAGGACAGAUGCUGCUACUCACAGAGGAACCCGGAACGGAAAAAAGGCUGCAAGCUCCGCCCUAAUGCCAGCUGCAGUCCAACGGCCGGACCAUGUUGCAGCUCUUCCUGCCAGUUCCUGCCAAUAACGGACAAGUGUUCUCCCGAGGACGAUUGCAACUUUGCUUCGUACUGCAAUAGCGUAUCGGCACUGUGCCCUUCACCAGUUCCAAAGCAUGACAAGACACCAUGUAAUAGGUACACGCAAGUGUGCCUCCAAGGGCGAUGUGAGGGUUCCAUCUGCCUGAAAUAUGGCUUCGAGGAUUGCCAGCUCUCUGGUAGCCAACACAGCCCCGACGUACAAUGCAGCCUCUUCUGCCGUACUUCUGGUACAACCAACGUAUGUUUGGACCCCUGCAAGACUCCGGUCCUAAAAUCGCUCUGUGGUCGUAAGAGACAGCCUGGUGCAUUGUGCAAUAACAACAUGGGAUACUGCGACGUCUUCCAUAAAUGCAGAGGCAUCGACGAAGAAGGACCUCUGACUCGUCUUGAAGCCCUGCUCUUUCGACGCUCGCGAGGCUUACAUCAGUGGGUUGAGGAGGAUCUUCAUCGCAAUGGGGCAGUGUACCGCCAUAACGGCGGAAAAUGACCCUCCACAUCAUCAUCUCAUAUAUGUGUGUGUUCAUCGCACCUUCAGCCAGCUGAACUUGAUAAGGAACAAGUUGCGCAAUAAAAUGAAGCCGGACAUGGUCGAAGCCAUUCUGGCAAUCCGCUCAGGCUUGAGACGGCACUGGAAGAGCUGUUUCGAGUACCACCUCCCCUCCUGAAGUUGUCAGGAACAUCCGAAAGAAGAAAUGAACGAGAAUGCGAAGCAAGCUCCCGAACACCAUGAAUACAGGACAACGCAUGGAUUGUGGCAGCGGGAUGCGUCUUCGUUAUGUUCGGCAUAGUUAUAUUCAUCCGGUGCUGCGCCAUUUUCAC